UGGGGAAUAUUGGACAAUGGGCGCAAGCCUGAUCCAGCCAUGCCGCGUGAGUGAAGAAGGCCUUCGGGUUGUAAAGCUCUUUUGUCCGGAAAGAAAAGCCUUCGGUUAAUACCCGGGGGUGAUGACGGUACCGGAAGAAUAAGCACCGGCUAACUUCGUGCCAGCAGCCGCGGUAAUACGAAGGGUGCAAGCGUUACUCGGAAUUACUGGGCGUAAAGCGUGCGUAGGUGGUUCGUUAAGUCUGAUGUGAAAGCCCUGGGCUCAACCUGGGAAUGGCAUUGGAAACUGGCGACCUAGAGUGCGGUAGAGGGUAGUGGAAUUCCCGGUGUAGCAGUGAAAUGCGUAGAGAUCGGGAGGAACAUCCGUGGCGAAGGCGACUACCUGGACCAGCACUGACACUGAGGCACGAAAGCGUGGGGAGCAAACAGG
rnacentral:rRNA from 2 species